AUCCGCAGUGCACAGCCCGCUCUGUUCUCCUGCCAACUUGGCAGCUCGCUGCUGCUGCUGUUACUAUCAACACCUCUGAGGGAAAAGGGAGAGAAGUCGGCUCUGAUCGCCUAGUGCACUGAGCAACAAAUUCACGUUGAGCCAGAGCACUCUGGAAUGUCUCCCAAGCUCCGAAGGCUCCGGGUGGGGCAAGGGCUCCCGGGACCCAGUCGUCAAGAACCAAGAACUUCAAGGACCCAAGGCACAGUCCGCUGAUAGGUCAGUCACCCAUGUCCUACAGGACCAAGAGGUGAUCUCUGUGCAGCCUUUCCCAGGAGGAAGGCCUUUCCAGCUUUCUCCCUGCUAGCUAAGAGAACUUCAGGCACCUCAAUGGGCUACAGACUACAGGGAUGAAGACGUGAAAACGAUGUCUGUAUACUGACUGGGUUGUGCUCUCCUGCGCCCUCUCCAGAUGUGCCCUCGCCCAGAUGUGUAACUGAUAGUAAGAUAAUUUCCAGCCCCAGGGAUCUGAAAGCCCUCACCCUCCUGCUAAGAACUACCCAGCUCCCCAGAAAACCUUCAUACUAUCCCGGGGCCUGGCCACAGGAAAGAACUCACUCUGCAGGCUGGAAUGGAAAUAAACCCUGAGAGGCUGCACCUGUGAGCAGCCCCUCAGAUGAUGCCCUGUCAGCGUUUCCAUGACAAACUCGUAUUUCCGGAUGCUUCUCUUCCAGCUUGAAGAGCGUGCCUCUCGGCGAGGCUUGAUACUGAAAAUGCAUUCAUAAUUUUUUUCCCAAAAAAAGAUUGCACGCUCCAUAAAAAUUUACACUCUCCGUA